rnacentral:rRNA from 2 species
UACGUAGGGCGCAAGCGUUGUCCGGAAUUAUUGGGCGUAAAGAGCUCGUAGGUGGCUUGUCGCGUCUGCCGUGAAAACCCGAGGCUCAACCUCGGGCGUGCGGUGGGUACGGGCAGGCUAGAGUGUGGUAGGGGAGACUGGAACUCCUGGUGUAGCGGUGAAAUGCGCAGAUAUCAGGAAGAACACCGAUGGCGAAGGCAGGUCUCUGGGCCAUUACUGACACUGAGGAGCGAAAGCAUGGGUAGCGAACAGG